ACAUUAAAAUUUAAAAGGAUUAAAAGCACUUUAAAAGAUGGUGUGUCUAUUCACUAAACAGCAUGUACUAAUUUAUAACUUUAUUAAAAUAACUGUGGGUAGUCUAUGUCUCUUGCCUCACGCAUAAUAAAGAACUUCUCUUUUUGAAAGUAAUUGCUGUAAAAUAUUGCUUGAGGGAUUAAAAUGCUAGUGUGAUUGGGAGGUAGUAUCUUUGCUCUUGGGCAGACUGUUUUGAACGUCUCAGGUUCAAACAUGAAACUGGGUUAAGGUAGUUGAGGUCAGGGAAUGAUAGAGUGGUUAGAAGGGAUCCUUAGAUAAUGAAGUCCUUGAGAACAGGAAUAGGGUCUUCUCUGUCUUUUGUAAAAUCCUAAGGGCCUGGUGCAGUACCAUUCACAUGGGAGGAAAGGACAGGGUUGCUACCAGAACAGCCAAGAGACAAAAAAAAAAAACGAGCUUGAUCUUAGAAAAUGCUGAGUUCCUCUCAAGGUUUUCUUCUUAAGCUGAGCUGGUGUCUGUUACUUCUUCUCUUCAUAAAAAAGAAAGAACAUACUUAUCUUAAAGAAAGCUAAAAUGUUUGUCAUUAAGCAUGACAGUGAUUUGGGCCCUCAUUCAAAUAGACCUCUUCCUGUGAUUUUGGUCCUAUGGGGCUAGGUCAGAAGGAUGUGGUUAUAACACAAAUUGUGAUUUCAUUUUGUUCUUCUCCUACUCAUAAACCUCCACUGUUCCCCCCUUUCCCACAGUGACAAUAGGAAGAAGUCCAAAUACUUCAGUGUAGGUGGCAGGUGGAGGCCUUCUGGAAUUUGGCUCCAAGCUAAGCAUAACUUUUACCAUCUUCCAACUUGAACUUCAGUGUGGCUCAGCCAUUCUUCUAUUUGGUCAAGAGAUAUUCUAGGCAUUUCAGAUGGGAAAGAGAAGAAAAAACUAAGACUGGAAGUGGGUGAGGCCUGGGGACUGCUGACAGAGAUUAGCAUCCAGAUCACUAAGUUCAGGGGGACACAGAGAGUGGUGAUGCUGCCCACCCUGACACUUUCUCCAGGAUGCCUUUCCAAGGAAAGCAGAGCACAAGUUGAAGGAUUGAUUAAGAAAAGAGGGACAAUGCCUACUGAGAUGGGAGAGUAGGAACAAAGACAAGAUGAAGAUACAGAUACUGAGAAUUCUGAUUCCAGAAGCUCUUCUUGUCCAAAUUACAUUUUUAGCAUGGUUUACUUUUAUGCUUUUGUAGGGUAAUGUAUUAAUAUAUUAAUUUUUUUUGGCUAAUGUAUUUGUAGACUAGUUAAGUAUUUACAUACUAAAUUCCUUGAGGACAGGGAAAUGUCUAUAUCUUUCAAAUCCUUUCCAGUACAUGUGGGGCCUUGAUUAUCCAUUUAUUUGCCUGUGUUGGACAACUGUAUUCUGAAGAAAAUCAGAGCUCAUUGGCUACCAACCAGUAGAAGUAUGGUGGUCAUGGAUUUGGACAUGUGUUUUUCUUAGUCUUAAUUUUGUAAGAGAAUAUCAAUUGUCUUGUCAAUAUGGAUUGCCCUGCUUUGAAUUGACAACAUGGACUACACAUUCACUCCCAAG